rnacentral:rRNA from 1 species
GUUUAGAGAUGAGAUCCUUCAGUUCGGCUGGCUGGAACACAGGUGCUGCAUGGCUGUCGUCAGCUCGUGUCGUGAGAUGUUGGGUUAAGUCCCGCAACGAGCGCAACCCUCGCCUUUAGUUGCCAUCAUUUAGUUGGGCACUCUAGAGGGACUGCCGGUGAUAAGCCGGAGGAAGGUGGGGAUGACGUCAAGUCCUCAUGGCCCUUACGGGUAGGGCUACACACGUGCUACAAUGGUGGUGACAGUGGGCAGCGACACAGUGAUGUGAUGCUAAUCUCAAAAAGCCAUCUCAGUCCAGAUUGUACUCUGCAACUCGAGUACAUGAAGUUGGAAUCGCUAGUAAUCGCGGAUCAGCACGCCGCGGUGAAUACGUUCCCGGGCCUUGUACACACCGCCCGUCACAUCACGAAAGCUGGCUGUACUAGAAGUAGCUGCGCCAACCCGCAAGGGAGGCAGGUUCCUAAGGUAUGGUCAGUGAUUGGGGUGAAGUCGUAACAAGGUAACCGU